GUAGUUUUUUGGCUUUAUGUCAUUUUUCUACAGUGGAGCCUGAAUUCAUAGAUAAAUCAGCUGGUAUGUAAAUUGCUCACUUGUGCGAUACUACCCAAACUGCACUUCUGUUUUAUUGUUGAUUUAUAGGUUUGAUCUGGAACUGCAGACAUUUCCAUGGGAUGUGUCUCGCAUUUGAGCAUCAACGUAGGCAAAAGCAAUCCCAACAAAAACAAGACUGAUUCAAUUCCAUCUUCAAUAGACAACAAGGUUAGUUCCAUAAAGAAGGAAUAUGAUCAAGCCCAAUCUGAGCUCAAUUUGAGUCGUUCAAAGAUGAAAGAAUGUGAUGCUGAGAUCAGUGCCAUUGUCAAGAAGCAACAGAAGCUUCAACAUAAAAUUAGUGAUGCAAAUGUUGAGAGGAAAAAUUGGAAAAUGAGAUUAAGCGAAUGGAGAUGGAACAGAAAGAUUGCUCCCUGAAGGUAGAUAAACUACUAGAAAGGCAUAGUUAGAUUGCAACUGAGAAACAAUUAUUUGGAAAAAGUGGGACAGAUUAUGACUUCUCAUCUCGUAAAUCAAGGGAGGAGCUUGAGAAACUUCAAGUUGAAUAAUCUAGCCUUGAGAAGAGGGUCAACAAAAAAGUUAUGAUAAUGUUCGAGAAAGCUGAAGAUGAAUACAAUGACUUAUUAUCCAAGAAAAUAAUCAUUGAGAAUGAUAAGUCAAAAAUCAAGAAGGUGAUUGAAGAGCUUGAUGAAAAGAAGGAAACACUAAAAUUUACUUGGGUUAAAGUGAACAAGCUGACAAGCUAAAGAAGUCAGUGGAGGAUGAAAUUCAUUUUCUUAAGGGAAGGGUUUCAGAACUUGAAAGUGAUCUUAUGUCGAAGUCCACAGAUGUUACAUCUGCAGUUUCAAGGAAAGAAGAAGCUCUAUCUUCUACA